AUGGAGAAUUUCAGAUGCUCUUCUGUUCAAGUUUAUGCUUAUAGAUUCUGCGAUGCAGAAAACUAUCUGACACAAAAAAACAAAAAAACUGUAAUGCGUGCUUCAGAUAGGCAGAUAAAAUCAACACACAGACUUCAGGGUUGGUUACCAAGUCUGUGUGGCAAACAAGUCUGUAUGUAUGAAGUAACUUGGAACUCAAAGUACUUCAUAUCAGCUGCACUUCUCCUUUUUCUUGUUUGCUUAGGUGUUUGGAAUCUCGAUUCAUCGAUUUGGAUGGCAGUAACCCUCAAAGCUCGUCUCUCAGUCCUUACUAGGAAAUUCCAGUUUGGUUUCCUUAUGAUCUUUUACUCCUCUGAAUUUUCUCUUUUGCUUGUUGGUUCCCAAGUUCCUCUUCCACCGUUGCUCUGA
rnacentral:rRNA from 1 species